AAUGAACGUUGGCGGCGUGGAUUAGGCAUGCAAGUCGAGCGAGAACCCCGCAAGGGGGGACAGCGGCAAACGGGGUAGUAAUGUGUCGGAACGUGCCCUGAGGUCGGGGAUAGCGGCGGGAAACUGCCGGUAAUACCCGAUGAUCUCGAGAGAGCAAAGGUGUGAUUCCGCCUUUGGAGCGGCCGACAUGGUAUUAGCUAGUUGGCGGGGUAACGGCCCACCAAGGCUGUGAUGCCUAGGGGAUGUGAGAGCAUGAUCCCCACCAUUGGGACUGAGACACUGCCCAGACACCUACGGGUGGCUGCAGUCGGGAAUCUUCGUCAAUGGGCGAAAGCCUGAACGAGCGACGCCGCGUGUGGGAUGAAGGCCUUUGGGUUGUAAACCGCUGUCGAGGGGGAUGAAGGCUGGAGGGUACUCCUUCCAGUUUGACAGAGCCCUGGAGGAAGCACGGGCUAAGUUCGUGCCAGCAGCCGCCGUAAAAC
rnacentral:rRNA from 1 species